AGCCCAGCAGACUUGUUGGGUGGAAACACUACGGAACGUUUUCUUUCCUAAACAGAACUAAACCCGAUUGAUGUAACAUAUUUUGAGUUCUUUCCCCCUUUCCUGCAGAUUGAGUGUAUUCCAUGUACAUAAGGUAUUCAGAAAGAGCGCUUUGAGGCUGGGCAUCAAGAAAAACUUUACUCUGAUACUGCUAGAAUCAAACAGACACGGCUUUGGACCAGCGGUUGAGCUGUUAUCUGUGAACCCUGAGAAUCGCAGAUUACUUCAAAGGCAGCUCAGAAAGAUCCUGCCAGACUGUGGUGAGAACAGGCACAAGCAUGAAAUUAAUUUCUUUCGCCAUUCAGCGCUUGGAAGUGAUGCUUUGACUCCAUGAAUGAACAAGAUGAUCUUUCGGGUCGUGUAGUGUGAACGCUUCGCCUGGUUUGUAUGUCACUCAGCGUUGGAUGAGGUACCCAAGUUUAACAGGCAUUUUCCACGAGCACAAGUGUGUCACAGGCCCAGCUGUGGCUGUAGCUUUGGACAGAGCCUUACCUUUUCUCAUGGAGAUGCAUGCAACGCACGGUGGAGGUGUGUCCGUACAAGGUGUGUAUGCAUUCUCCAGUCUCAGCGUUCCAGACUUUCAGCGUUCGGUCUGUGGAGCCACUGAUGAUGAUAUUGUCCCUCAUCUGUGAUGACCAGACUCCGCCGGUGUGCCCAACCAGUGUUCUCAAACACUGAAAAGAAAUGUUUUGCUUAGUUCCCCUCCCCUUUUGACAGAGUUGAAUGGAAACUUAAGAAAAAGUAAUCUGCGAGGUAACAGGAGUCUCUUAUAGCAAGAGCCAGAAGAUCCCUGGAGCCUGCUUUGUGAUUGAACUAAAAAAUCCCACCUUUUAGAAAAUACUCGUCAAAUUUCGCUCUUCAUUGUCGGUAUUCUGACUCUAAGGAAUUUUCCCUACAAUCUUCCCCUUGAUAAACUAAACUGACUUUCCAAAUUUCUCAAUAUAGGGCAUGUUUUGCAGCCCUGAGUCAUUUUCCUGGCAUUCUUCUGAGUCACUGCAGGUUUUCCAGUAGCUUUUUGAAGCAUAAGCGUUAGAACUGGAGAGAACAUGCACUCAGUAGUUUUACCACCGAUCUAUAAACCAUAUACUCUUAUUUUUUCUGUUUGUUUAUCCAAGAAAUGUCACGUUCUUUAAGCCAUAGCUACAGCAUCGAUACUGCCAAAUCACGUUUCAAACCUUUUUCAGACUUUACCGUUGCCCAGGAGAGAUUCCCGCACCACCCCAGCACAGCCUACCUUCUUUGAUCCCAAGUGUAUGACAUGAUUUCUCACCACAUAGAGACAGUGUCUGCUCACACCUAUGUCUAUAAAACCUCUGUCAUGCUGGAAAAAUGACUUGUCUCCGUCUCUCAGCCUGUAUUCCUUACAAGUAACGACUAUAUAUAUGCUUUCGCACCAGGCAGCAAUAAGUGCUAAUUAGCACAGACACAAAGAGAUCCUUGCAAGACCCCUCUAGAAAGAUACUCCAUGAAGACUCCGCAUUUACAUUAACAACAUGAUCUCUAUAAUUACCCGCUUUCUAACCCAUUUAAAUAUGUGCCAUGUUGAUUUUUGUGUUGCUCUAUUUUCUCCAGCCGUGCCACGGGGAUACAGUCUUGCAGUGCACACAGCCAUCUAUUUCUGCGCUAUUAUUUUUAUCAGUCAAACCUGUAACUGCAUGAGAAAAGAGGUCAAGACAGUUUGAUGAUCUCGUUUUCUGUAAUCUAAUGCUAAGUGGUAUUAAUUGCCGUGGCCUUCCUUUAACUGUUAGUUGACUCCUCUUGAUGCUGCCCAAUCCUAAAUACCCAGUCUGUCAGUUUACUCCAUUUAAAUACUGACACAUUUUAGCUUUCUGGCCAUCCUUUGGAUCCUCUCCUUGUGCUCACACCUUUCGAAAAAAACCCACCAAUUUUAUCCCACGGGUUACUUUAGAAAAAAAAGAUCAAAUACAGAUUACCUGCAUCAACUGUACUAAGAAAAACCGUAACUUUGGUAGUUGUUGAACACCCUUGUGAGUUUCUGCUGAAAUGAGGUGUUUUGUUAUCACUGCCUGCUGUAUUUCCACCGCAUGAAUUUUCUCCCAAAAUAAAUAUUUUUUUUCUGCAUCA